UCAAACCACCAAGUCGACACGGUCAAAUGCGGCCAUUAUUCUCGCGUGCUCCUACCCGUCUCUGGCGUUUCAAUGAGCCUGGAGUGAAGUGCCUGGCUAGGCGCGACGGCCCUCAUCAUCUGGAAAGUCCAAACAAUUGACAAUACCAUCCUCUGCCACUGCUGGGUGGCUCCCACUCACCCCCAGCGCCCAACGGCACCCAAUGGCAACCCAACUGGACAAUCGGCCAAAGAGUUGAAGAGAAUGCGGCAGAAGCUGAGACACGUGCUAAAACAGAAAGUUGCUACUUUAAAUCAUCAUAUCAACCGCCUGGAGGACUCUCCAAAAUCCCGGAUGUCCUUUACUGAAGAGAAUAUCAGGGACAUCCGGUUCCAUUUCCGGGAGGUCCAGAAGCUCCUGAAAUUCGAUAAUUGAGAAGUUCGCUUAUUUUUCCACAAUUCCCCCGUCGUUCCUCAUCCAAAACUUGCCCGUUUGCCUCUAUUACCGGUUUCUUUCCAUUUUUUCAGUUUCAUGUACAAUAAAUCCUUUCUCAC
ensembl:lincRNA linc-63 ncRNA